CCAAGCAUAGAGUUGGGUCACGUGGCCCAAGCCAAGGCAUGGGCUGCUUGACUCCUAAAGUGGGGUGGACCGCGUGAGGCUGGUUUCACAGAGCAACGAACAGCUCCCGUUCUGUGCAGUGGAAGGAUAAUGGGCCGGUGCUUUCCAAGUCCAGCAACGCCUAAUGGGCUGCUCCAAUUAAACCACCAUUUUU
rnacentral:SRP_RNA from 1 species